rnacentral:rRNA from 1 species
UCCUACGGGCGGCUGCAGUCGAGAAUCUUCGGCAAUGGGCGAAAGCCUGACCGAGCGACGCCGCGUGUGGGAUGAAGGCCCUUGGGUUGUAAACCACUGUCAGAGGGGAUGAAAUGCGGAAGGGUUCUCCCUUUCGUUUGACAUAGCCUCAGAGGAAGCACGGGCUAAGUUCGUGCCAGCAGCCGCGGUAAUACGAACUGUGCAAACGUUAUUCGGAAUCACUGGGCUUAAAGGGUGCGUAGGCGGCGUGUUAAGUAGGGUGUGAAAUCCCUCGGCUCAACCGAGGAACUGUGCCCUAAACUGGCAUGCUUGAGUGAGAUAGGGGUGUGUGGAACUUCCAGUGGAGCGGUGAAAUGUGUUGAUAUUGGAAGGAACGCCGGUGGCGAAAGCGACACACUGGGUCUCAACUGACGCUGAGGCACGAAAGCCAGGGGAGCAAACGGGAUUAGAUACCCUAGUAGUCC